rnacentral:rRNA from 1 species
UUAAGUUAUUAAGGGCGCACGGUGGAUGCCUUGGCACUAGAAGCCGAUGAAGGACGUUACUAACGACGAUAUGCUUUGGGGAGCUGUAAGUAAGCUUUGAUCCAGAGAUUUCCGAAUGGGGAAACCCAGCAUGAGUUAUGUCAUGUUAUCGAUAUGUGAAUACAUAGCAUAUCAGAAGGCACACCCGGAGAACUGAAACAUCUUAGUACCCGGAGGAAGAGAAAGAAAAUUCGAUUCCCUUAGUAGCGGCGAGCGAAACGGGAAGAGCCCAAACCAACAAGCUUGCUUGUUGGGGUUGUAGGACACUCUAUACGGAGUUACAAAGGACGACAUUAGACGAAUCAUCUGGAAAGAUGAAUCAAAGAAGGUAAUAAUCCUGUAGUCGAAAAUGUUGUCUCUCUUGAGUGGAUCCUGAGUACGACGGAGCACGUGAAAUUCCGUCGGAAUCUGGGAGGACCAUCUCCUAAGGCUAAAUACUCUCUAGUGACCGAUAGUGAACCAGUACCGUGAGGGAAAGGUGAAAAGCACCCCGGAAGGAGAGUGAAAUAGAACCUGAAACCGUGUGCUUACAAGUAGUCAGAGCCCGUUAAUGGGUGAUGGCGUGCCUUUUGUAGAAUGAACCGGCGAGUUACGAUUUGAUGCAAGGUUAAGCAGUAAAUGUGGAGCCGUAGCGAAAGCGAGUCUGAAUAGGGCGUUUAGUAUUUGGUCGUAGACCCGAAACCAGGUGAUCUACCCUUGGUCAGGUUGAAGUUCAGGUAACACUGAAUGGAGGACCGAACCGACUUACGUUGAAAAGUGAGCGGAUGAACUGAGGGUAGCGGAGAAAUUCCAAUCGAACCUGGAGAUAGCUGGUUCUCUCCGAAAUAGCUUUAGGGCUAGCCUCAAGUGAUGAUUAUUGGAGGUAGAGCACUGUUUGGACGAGGGGCCCCUCUCGGGUUACCGAAUUCAGACAAACUCCGAAUGCCAAUUAAUUUAACUUGGGAGUCAGAACAUGGGUGAUAAGGUCCGUGUUCGAAAGGGAAACAGCCCAGACCACCAGCUAAGGUCCCAAAAUAUAUGUUAAGUGGAAAAGGAUGUGGCGUUGCCCAGACAACUAGGAUGUUGGCUUAGAAGCAGCCAUCAUUUAAAGAGUGCGUAAUAGCUCACUAGUCGAGUGACACUGCGCCGAAAAUGUACCGGGGCUAAACAUAUUACCGAAGCUGUGGAUUGUCCUUUGGACAAUGGUAGGAGAGCGUUCUAAGGGCGUUGAAGCAUGAUCGUAAGGACAUGUGGAGCGCUUAGAAGUGAGAAUGCCGGUGUGAGUAGCGAAAGACGGGUGAGAAUCCCGUCCACCGAUUGACUAAGGUUUCCAGAGGAAGGCUCGUCCGCUCUGGGUUAGUCGGGUCCUAAGCUGAGGCCGACAGGCGUAGGCGAUGGAUAACAGGUUGAUAUUCCUGUACCACCUAUAAUCGUUUUAAUCGAUGGGGGGACGCAGUAGGAUAGGCGAAGCGUGCGAUUGGAUUGCACGUCUAAGCAGUAAGGCUGAGUAUUAGGCAAAUCCGGUACUCGUUAAGGCUGAGCUGUGAUGGGGAGAAGACAUUGUGUCUUCGAGUCGUUGAUUUCACACUGCCGAGAAAAGCCUCUAGAUAGAAAAUAGGUGCCCGUACCGCAAACCGACACAGGUAGUCAAGAUGAGAAUUCUAAGGUGAGCGAGCGAACUCUCGUUAAGGAACUCGGCAAAAUGACCCCGUAACUUCGGGAGAAGGGGUGCUCUUUAGGGUUAACGCCCAGAAGAGCCGCAGUGAAUAGGCCCAAGCGACUGUUUAUCAAAAACACAGGUCUCUGCUAAACCGUAAGGUGAUGUAUAGGGGCUGACGCCUGCCCGGUGCUGGAAGGUUAAGAGGAGUGGUUAGCUUCUGCGAAGCUACGAAUCGAAGCCCCAGUAAACGGCGGCCGUAACUAUAACGGUCCUAAGGUAGCGAAAUUCCUUGUCGGGUAAGUUCCGACCCGCACGAAAGGCGUAACGAUUUGGGCACUGUCUCAACGAGAGACUCGGUGAAAUCAUAGUACCUGUGAAGAUGCAGGUUACCCGCGACAGGACGGAAAGACCCCGUGGAGCUUUACUGUAGCCUGAUAUUGAAAUUCGGCACAGCUUGUACAGGAUAGGUAGGAGCCUUUGAAACGUGAGCGCUAGCUUACGUGGAGGCGCUGGUGGGAUACUACCCUAGCUGUGUUGGCUUUCUAACCCGCACCACUUAUCGUGGUGGGAGACAGUGUCAGGCGGGCAGUUUGACUGGGGCGGUCGCCUCCUAAAAGGUAACGGAGGCGCUCAAAGGUUCCCUCAGAAUGGUUGGAAAUCAUUCAUAGAGUGUAAAGGCAUAAGGGAGCUUGACUGCGAGACCUACAAGUCGAGCAGGGUCGAAAGACGGACUUAGUGAUCCGGUGGUUCCGCAUGGAAGGGCCAUCGCUCAACGGAUAAAAGCUACCCCGGGGAUAACAGGCUUAUCUCCCCCAAGAGUUCACAUCGACGGGGAGGUUUGGCACCUCGAUGUCGGCUCAUCGCAUCCUGGGGCUGUAGUCGGUCCCAAGGGUUGGGCUGUUCGCCCAUUAAAGCGGUACGCGAGCUGGGUUCAGAACGUCGUGAGACAGUUCGGUCCCUAUCCGUCGUGGGCGUAGGAAAUUUGAGAGGAGCUGUCCUUAGUACGAGAGGACCGGGAUGGACAUACCUCUGGUGUACCAGUUGUCGUGCCAACGGCAUAGCUGGGUAGCUAUGUGUGGACGGGAUAAGUGCUGAAAGCAUCUAAGCAUGAAGCCCCCCUCAAGAUGAGAUUUCCCAAC